rnacentral:rRNA from 1 species
CCUACGGGGGGCUGCAGUCGAGGAUCUUCGUCAAUGGGCGAAAGCCUGAACGAGCGACGCCGCGUGCGGGAUGAAGGCCCUUGGGUUGUAAACCGCUGUCAGGGGGGAUGAAACCGUAAGGUUGACAGAGCCCCAGAGGAAGCACGGGCUAAGUUCGUGCCAGCAGCCGCGGUAAUACGAACUGUGCGAACGUUACUCGGAAUCACUGGGCUUACAGGGUGCGUAGGUGGCUUGAUAAGCAGGGUGUGAAAUCCCUCGGCUCAACCGAGGAACUGCGCUCUGAACUGUCGGGCUAGAGUAUGCUAGAGGUGAAUGGAACAUCCAGUGGAGCGGUGAAAUGCGUUGAUAUUGGAUGGAACACCAGAGGCGAAGGCGAUUCACUGGGGCAUAACUGACACUGAGGCACGAAAGCCAGGGGAGCAAACGGGAUUAGAUACCCUAGUAGUC